rnacentral:rRNA from 1 species
UACGUAGGGUGCGAGCGUUGUCCGGAAUUAUUGGGCGUAAAGAGCUUGUAGGCGGUUUGUCGCGUCUGCCGUGAAAUUUCGGGGCUCAACCCCGAACUUGCGGUGGGUACGGGCAGACUAGAGUGUGGUAGGGGAGACUGGAAUUCCUGGUGUAGCGGUGAAAUGCGCAGAUAUCAGGAGGAACACCGGUGGCGAAGGCGGGUCUCUGGGCCGAUACUGACGCUGAGGAGCGAAAGCGUGGGGAGCGAACAGG